GAUGAAGAACGCAGCGAAAUGCGAUAAGUAAUGUGAAUUGCAGAAUUCAGUGAAUCAUCGAAUCUUUGAACGCACAUUGCGCCCGCCAGUAUUCUGGCGGGCAUGCCUGUCUGAGCGUCAUUUCAACCCUCAUGCCCCUAGGGCGUGGUGUUGGGGAUCGGCCAAAGCCCGCGAGGGACGGCCGGCCCCCAAAUCUAGUGGCGGACCCGUCGUGGCCUCCUCUGCGAAGUAGUGAUAUUCCGCAUCGGAGAGCGACGAGCCCCUGCCGUUAAACCCCCAACUUUCCAAGGUUGACCUCAGAUCAGGUAGGAAUACCCGCUGAACUUAAGCAUAUCAAUAAGCGGAGGA
rnacentral:misc_RNA from 1 species